AUAGCAGUAAAGUUGUCCAUGCCCAAGAGUUUGAUGUUUCAGUAACAAUGUUGAAUAUUGCAAUCAUUCUCUACCAUAUCCAUGAGUAUGCAUAGUCAUUAUCUGUUCUCAAAAAGCUGUUCCAGAAUAUCGAGCCAAUUGAAGAGCAAAUAGCUCUCCGUGUAUGCCUUCUUCUACUGGAUGUUGCAUUAGCUUGUGAAGAUAUUUUACAAGUCUAAG